GUGCUUUGUACAUUGGGAAGUUCUUUCCAGCUCUGGACAGGAAAACGUGAAAACAGAUGAUCCCAAGUAGGUUUCUCCCUAAACUAACAAUUAAAGAAUAUAGUUUCACUUUUUCAUUUUUAUUUGUUGAAACUGGUAAAGCUUCUACCUUGAGUGGGUCUGGGUUGUUUUAAAAUUUAUCAGACCACAUUGGUCUGAUAUUGUUUCCUUCAUUUAAUUUGAAAAAGCUUGUUUAAAAUAACUAUUUGGAGAUGGAAUAAUUUUUUGGUUUUAUGAAAAUUUAAAGGAAUUGUAAAAGAAUCUAAGACAUACUUAUGGAAUUGCAGUCAAGUUUUUCUGGUGAUUUUGACUGAAAUGCAACUGCAGAAGCAACAUGUGACCUUUUAGAGAUGCUUGUGGGACUGCAUAAAGUGAAGAGGGAAACUGGAAAAAAACAAUGAA
rnacentral:sRNA from 1 species